rnacentral:rRNA from 1 species
UACAGAGGUCCCAAGCGUUGUUCGGAUUCAUUGGGCGUAAAGGGUGCGUAGGCGGCGCGGUAAGUCGGGUGUGAAAUCUCGGAGCUUAACUCCGAAACUGCAUUCGAUACUGCCGUGCUUUGAGGACUGGAGAGGAGACUGGAAUUUACGGUGUAGCGGUGAAAUGCGUAGAUAUCGUAAGGAACACCAGUGGCGAAGGCGGCUCACUGGCCCGAUACUGACGCUGAGGCACGAAAGCGUGGGGAGCAAACAGG